GUGCACAGUGAACACCCAGAGAUGUUAAUGUGGCUCCCUCUGGUCUCUCAUGCCUGUGCUAAAGUGACUCUGGUCUUUUCCUCUGCACUAGAAGAGUUUUUGUCUCUUCUACGUGUAUUCAGCUGAUCAGAACAAAC